AAAACUUUAUCUUCAAGUCAUGGGACAUUCUUGGAGUGUCAAAGCUUGAUUGUUGAGCUUUUAUAUGCCCAAAAGAAAUCCAAAAUCAUUCUGGCAUCAUUGUUGGAUCAAACAAAGCUUUUAUGAUAGGAUCCUUUUGCAUAGUAUCAUAAAAAAUGUUCUUCACAUUAUCCUUUAAUCAUUCUUGUUCAACAUCAAAAUUAUUCCUUG
rnacentral:lncRNA from 1 species